AUCCUAAACUAAUAGGAAUCAGUUAUAUAAAUCCACUAAAUACAAGCUAAGUUAAAGGAAGAGGGUUGCAAUCGGUUGACAACUAACUUAAAGUUUCAAGUACUUACCUUCCAUGGCUGCUAUCCAAUGAGGAGGUCCGACGCGAAUCCAAGCCUAAACUCUCAUAGGUGAGGAAAAAAUCUGAUGGACAAAACGAAGAAGAAGACAUCUCUGUCGCAGGAAUCUUAGGAGGUUGUAAGCCAGGCAAUGCCCUUUUUUGUCCCUUUCCAGAAUCUUCGGUUUCCUUUUCCCCUUCACACUCCUUUGUUUUUGGUAUCGAAAGAAGCUUCUCAAAAGCCUUAACUAAAUGCAUCACUUUUCCUGAUUCAGAUACACUUUGUCUUGCUUCUUCCAACAUCCUCCUCUUUAUAGUUCCACCACUCACUUCACCCAAACCCACAUCCUCGUUUGCCCUUUCCGCCAUUUCAUCAGCCACACAACGACCACCCAAUUCAGCUAAUUCACCCAAUUCAAUGUAUUGAGUCAAUGACUGGUUACUCAUUCCUUCUCCAUUGCCAAUUUCAGGGCUAUUUACAUUAUCCAACUUCUUGAUGUCACUUUCUUCGUGUUCAUUUCCACCGCGAUUCUUGAAAAACUCUUCUUGAGAAGCCCUGAGGCUCUCAUAAGCAACACAAAGGCACUUCUUUUUCUCACCACCACCCGUCUUAUUACACUUACUACAAGCCACUGAAGGAUUAAAAUUAUCACUAUUACACUUCUUCUUGUUUGCGAUCACAAACUUCCUUUGGCGAAUUUUGUUUUUGGGAGAAGGCGAAACCAAUUGAUUUGCGUUCGGGUUUCUGGAUACUGAAUUUUGGGGUUUUUUCGCUGAUUUCGCCAUUACUAUUAGUGAUCAGGGAACAAUGACCAUUACAUAUGUCAACAGAGGGACUUCAACAACUACUAUGACUCAACCCCAAGCAAGUGGGUGUCAGCUCUACAAAUCCUCGACAACCAAGUCACUCCAUUUAAGCCCAUCUCGGUCCAAUAUUAUACUCAAUAAUUAGUUUCUCUAACAUUUUCCCCUUUCCCGAAGCAACAACCAAUCUAAGCAACUCCUUAAGUAAAUUGGUUACUGAUUAAUUGGAUUCAACAUGACAUCCUAAAUUAAAAAAGCGGAUGUUGAUGCAUCUCAAUGCUGAAGGGACACAAUUAACUAGCGGAUCAAAUAAUAGGUGCCACUAUUAGUGAUCAGGGAACAAUGACCAUUACAUAUGUCAACAGAGGGACUUCAACAACUACUAUGACUCAACCCCAAGCAAGUGGGUGUCAGCUCUACAAAUCCUCGACAACCAAGUCACUCCAUUUAAGCCCAUCUCGGUCCAAUAUUAUACUCAAUAAUUAGUUUCUCUAACACUAGAAGUUCACUACAUUUUCUACUAGCAUAUAAAUCUCUAACAAGACCAAAAAACUCCUAGCCAACAUUGGACCUAAAGUAAACGUACUAACAUGACUAAAAAUUAAUCUCAACUUAUUGUUAUCACCUAUAUAGAUUUUUUUCUUCCGUUGUGCACUAUUUAAACCCCAACAUUCUGAUUUUCUUUUAGCAAAAUAGGAUUCAAUCCAUCUUUCAGUGUCCACUCUGUGUAUAUCUAUUUGCGGUAGCAGCCAGCGCAUGUCAACCAAAUAUAUUGCAACUGAAUAUUUGGUCAUAGUCGCACAAGAAGCAAUCAAUUAACCAAGAUUAGAUCAAGCAAACACACAACUCACGAACCUCAGUUCUAAGUUUGAAGGGCUUUUGUGAGGUCGCUUUGAGCUGCCUUCUCUUCCCAUUUCUUCUAGAAAAUGUGCCUGAUGAUUCAGCGCUCUGCAGCAAUAAGAAUGAAAAUAAGAGUAUAGAGAUCAACAUGAUUUCCUCUCCAUCUAACAAUGAUUGAUAGUAAGAAUAUCCUUACAUUGUGUCUGCUCCUUCGACCACCACCUGAGGUCCUGCUUGAAAUACUGAAGCUAUGAAAAGAAAAAAAAGAUCUAUUUCCAGCACUCAAAUGAGGAAUAAAUGCACAACCAACAAGCAAAAGUUACAUCUCAAUCCUAAACUAAUAGGAAUCAGUUAUAUAAAUCCACUAAAUACAAGCUAAGUUAAAGGAAGAGGGUUGCAAUCGGUUGACAACUAACUUAAAGUUUCAAGUACUUACCUUCCAUGGCUGCUAUCCAAUGAGGAGGCACGACGCGAAUCCAAGCCUAAACUCUCAUAGGUAAGGAAAAGAUCCGAUGAACAAAACGAAGAAGAAGACAUCUCUGUGGCAGGAAUCUUAGGAGGUUGUAAGCCAGGCAAUGCCCUUUUUUGUCCCUUUCCAGAAUCUUGGGUUUCCUUUUCGCCUUCACACUCUU
rnacentral:lncRNA from 1 species